UUCAUGUUCUUCAAGAAAACAGAACCAUUCUCUCGACCUCAGCCAUUCUCUCGACCUCUCUCUAAAUGCAAAACCGUGGCUUAAAAAAUCAACAAGAACACUCACCUUUGUAGCUUGUUCUAAAGACGUCUCUGCUUCAAUACAAAUCUCCUUCUUGAUUUCGUAACGCUUCCGGAUCUACGAAGGUGAUAGAAGAUUGGAUAUUCGGCGGUGGUUUGACGGCGUAUUGGAUCGGUUCUCCAGCGUUUUCGUGGUCGCGAUUUGGUGGAGGAGGUGGCUCCCUUUUUUCAGUGAAAAAAAUUAGGGUUCUUUCCUUUACCGUCGCCUCCAGGUUCUCAUUUCUUUCUUUCGUCUUAAAUUUUUUAGGGUUUUCUCCUUCGCCACUAUCUCACCUUUUUUUCAACAGUAUCCGCCCCCCUUUUUUAUACUCACCCUGUUAGGGUUUUUGAUUUGGCUAUGGAGAUCAAAAGGGUAUCCCUUUGGAAGUCCUUUAGGGUGCUCACAGUUUGUCUGUCUCAUUUGGUAUUUGAUCUGGAACAGGUAAUACGAUCCAUGUACUUUCUUACUUUGAAUUCGUCUUGAUUCCUUUUUUGGGUUGCUUGUGGAAUUUUACCGCUGGUGAGAAAAGUUUCACCACUGUGAACCCACUUAGACGAAAAUAGGACUUGUUUCUUCUUUUUUGCUCUUCGAAAUUCAUACUGAUUCUGUGUUGUUGUUGUAUUCUUCACAAUUUCAUCAACUCCACUUCUGCACAAGCUCAAGAUCAAGCCCUACCGAAAUCUUGUUAUCUUGCUUCUAUCAACGUCUCUACGUCAUUCAAAAUGUCAUGAGCAGACUCAAACCAUCCCAUCUCAAUGCAACAGGUUUGGCAAUGGAAGAUUUGAUGCGUUUGACGGUUUGAACUUGUGCUGUUAUUGUAGGUUGAGUGUUCUGAGUGCAUCAGGCUGGGAUUUGGCCUGAACUUGGUUUGCCUCAAUGGCCUGAAAUGCCUAUGGUUGGACCAUGUUCUUAUCGGCUUUGUUGCAAUGCCUCUGGCUAGUCCUUUGUAAGUCAUGCGCACAUGGGAUAGAUUGUUGGAUAAUGGCUUGCAACAUGGAUGUUUACCUAUCUUGCACAUGAAGUAGCGUUGCUACAUGGCACAAACCCAACAUCAAUGGUGGAAAAGGAUUUAGUAUGAGUUCCAAAUGCAAUAUGGCUCAAUGACGGGUCGGUUUGUGGAUAGUCACAACAUAGGAUAAAAAUGGUUAACUUCUUGGUCUCUAACCACCCUCCAUGUGCAUUGUAGAGUCGGUCACGCACACAUGGAAAGAGUUAGCAUGAAGGCUCUCACUUGCAACGACUUACAAAUUGUAUCAAAACCAACAUUUGUUUCCACCUGAAUUUGAUCUUUUGUAUCUUUUGUAUGCCCAAGCAAAUCAUAACCACCUGAAUUGUCUUGGAAUGAAUGAAGAGAAAGACUAAGAUCCUGUGUCGAGCGAUUUGUUCUUGAGAUUAUACAAGAAGAGUAGCUUUGAAAAUUCAUCGAAUUGCCAACAGAACUCAUCGGAAAAACGCGAUAGCAUCAUUGUCAAUACUUGAUUGAAUGAAACCUGAAUGAGUAUGAUUCUACUGCAAAUUAUAACCAGGAGAUUCUGAA